UUGACCUCAAAUCAGGUAGGACUACCCGCUGAACUUAAGCAUAUCAAUAAGCGGAGGAAAAGAAACUAACAAGGAUUCCCCUAGUAACUGCGAGUGAAGCGGGAAAAGCUCAAAUUUAAAAUCUGGCGGUCUUGCGGCCGUCCGAGUUGUAAUCUGGAGAAGCGUUUAUCCGCGUCGGACCGUGUACAAGUCUUCUGGAAGGGAGCGUCGUAGAGGGUGAGAAUCCCGUCUUUGACACGGACAACCGGUGCUUUUGUGAUGCGCUCUCGAAGAGUCGAG
rnacentral:rRNA from 1 species